CACCAUCAACUUGUAAACAAGAAGAGCCUGUCAUUAAGCUGCGCUGCAUACCAUAGUUAAGCAGAGGAGAAAUUUUGCUACAACAGCUGGAACCAAGGCCCGAAAUUAAUUGUGAGAGGACCAGAAAGGCAUGCUACCAGAAAGCUGUAUACCACACCAGAACAGAGGGAUGAGACUGGAGCAUCUUCUGUGGGCAGCACACACGAGCACGUAUGAGCAAUGGCAGUAGACACCAAUGUUCUCCGUACCCAAGCACAGAGAACAGCGUCGGUGGCUAUCCUAGGAGAGAUGCCCCAAGUCAAACUUUCCCCAGAGGCAGAAGAUCGCCGUCCGAGCCAUGACCCACUUUGGUCCUGCUUUGAAGGAGAUGGAAGGCGGCGGGGACACAGCGGGAACAGAUGCGGUUACAUCAGCGGGAGUUUUCUGCAGGCUGCGGUGUGUAAGCCUUUUAUAGACAAACCUUGUGGGAAGUGCUAAAGGAUCAGAAGAAUAGGACUCAGUAAAUCUGGAAUUGAGUUGGCUAGCAAUCCUGUAGCACAAGGACUCAGCUUUCUGCCCCCACGUCAAGCAUUUCUUUGGAGUGGUUGAUCGUUUUUGUUGUCUGCAUUCCCCUUCAAAAAACCUAUCAAGCUAAUUCAAUGAACACACAGCAGUGUCUUGGGAAAGAUUUCAGGACAUUAGAGGCAGCAUUUAACAAGACUUUCAACCAUAAGAUAAAACGAAAGGGGUAGAGACACCACAGUGCUGUUCUUCAUUCCUCUGGGUUUAAAGAGCCACCAGUAGCAAAGCUGGUUGUGUGGAAACCAUCCCUACCACAAGUAUUUUCACAAAAAGAAACAAACCCAAAGCACGGAUUAAUUCCUGGAGAUGCUGCUGACACUGCUGCCUUUAUCAGAGGAAGAAAGGUGGCAUUCACUGGGGCUGGGCCAUUGCUUUCUGUAUGCAUUAUAGUAACACGGCAUCAGUCUGUUUAUUGUCAU